rnacentral:piRNA from 1 species
AAUAACUUGGGAACCAUUGCUAAGUCUGGC